rnacentral:rRNA from 1 species
CCGACGGUGAGGGAUGAAUGCUGGGGGCGCAAACCGGAUUAGAUACCCGGGUAGUCCCAGCAGUAAACGAUGCCAGCUAUGUGUUGCUGGAACCAUGGGUUCCAGCAGUGCCGAAGGGAAGCCGUGAAGCUGGCCACCUGGGAAGUACGGUCGCAAGGCUGAAACUUAAAGGAAUUGGCGGGGGAGUACCACAACCGGUGGAGCCUGCGGUUUAAUUGGAUACAACGCCGGGAAUCUUACCGGAGGGGACAGCAGUAUGAAGGCCAGGCUAAAGACCUUGCCAGAUCAGCUGAGAGGAGGUGCAUGGCCGUCGCCAGUUCGUACCGUGAGGCAUCCUGUUUAGUCAGGCAACGAUCGAGACCCGCAGUCUUAUUUGCCAGCAUGCCCUUUGGGGUGUAUGGGUACAAUAAGACGACCGCCAGCGCUAAGCUGGAGGAAGGAGCGGGCUACGGUAGGUCAGCAUGCCCCGAAUCCUCCGGGAUACACGCGGGCUACAAUGGUCAGGACAAAAGGUACCGACCUCGAAAGAGUGAGGUAAUCCACAAACCUGAUCUCAGUCCGGAUCGAAGGCUGCAACUCGCCUUCGUGAAGAUGGAAUCGGUAAGUAAUCGUGACUCAAAAUGUCACGGUGAAUAUGUCCCUGCUCCUUGCACACAC